UACGUAGGUGGCGAGCGUUGUCCGGAUUUAUUGGGCGUAAAGCGCGCGCAGGUGGUGCGGUAAGUCUGCCGUGAAAUCUCCCGGCUCAACUGGGAGGGGGCCUCGAAAACUGCCAGGCUUGAGGCAUGGAGAGGGAUGCGGAAUUCCCGGUGUAGUGGUGAAAUGCGUAGAUAUCGGGAGGAACACCAGUGGCGAAGGCGGCAUCCUGGCCAUGUCCUGACGCUCAGGGGCGAAAGCGUGGGGAGCAAACCGG
rnacentral:rRNA from 1 species